CUAAAGGGGAGAGGGCAAGGCAACCAUUCUUAAAGAAAGAUACAGGGAAGCACCUUGAGGGAAAGAUGAGAACCUCUUUCCUGUAGCAGCAUCCAGUGACUUCAAAUCUUGUGUUAAUGCUAAUGGUUUGAAGCUGCACUCAGGUGUGUGAGAACACAGGGUUUGAGGUGCUCCGAUCCACACACCUGCUCGCAGGAACUGAUGGGGCUGAACUGCGAGCUGACCAGUGAGCAGCAGGUCUCCAUGGAGAUGAGGCUCACUCCUGGCGUAAAAUAAUGCCUCUCAAAGAUCUACUAUAACUCUGAUUUGAGAAUUUGUAAAACAGAGAAAAAGAAGAUUCUCUACAAUCUCACUGCAAAUGCAAACAUAAGAAUUUUAAAUUCAACAUCAUCCAACCGACUCCAGCUGCGCUGUCCAACAUAUCCUGUCCUGUCUCCAUCACCAGCAUCACCACCUCACGCUAGAAGGAGACUCAAUCGGGAUUUUGAAGAACUCAACCAGCCUGUAGACCAACAAUAA
rnacentral:lncRNA from 1 species